UCAACGUAAAUUUCACUGAAGUCCCUAACUUAGUGCAUUUACCUAAGUAGCAUUAAUGAAUUUAGGCUGGAUGAUUGCUUGGAGUAUCAGCUGUGCUUGAACUUCUGUAUGUCAUUCAGAGGAAUUUACUCCUAAGAUUUCUUUUCCCUCCACCUGACAUUGUGCAGUAUACCACAGAGCAGCUGUCCACAGCCAGAAACUCAUCACUCUCUCUCUGAUCAGCACAUACAGGAAGGGAGAGAAGACAUCUGAGGUGGAAACAGAGACAGCUGAUAAUCUUUUGACUUCAGAUAAUAUCGAAUACAAGAGACGAUCCCCCUGUACCGCCCUAGAGUCUAACAGCACUCAGGAAAGUGAGGGGGAAGCACCAUAGUUUUGAGACCAGCUUGCUUUGGG
rnacentral:lncRNA from 1 species